UACGUAGGGACCAAGCGUUGUUCGGAUUUACUGGGCGUAAAGGGCGCGUAGGCGGCGCGGUAAGUCACUUGUGAAAUCUCCGGGCUUAACUCGGAACGGCCAAGUGAAACUGUCAUGCUAGAGUGCAGAAGGGGCAAUCGGAAUUCUUGGUGUAGCGGUGAAAUGCGUAGAUAUCAAGAGGAACACCUGAGGUGAAGACGGGUUGCUGGGCUGACACUGACGCUGAGGCGCGAAAGCCAGGGGAGCAAACGGG
rnacentral:rRNA from 1 species